UAAUUCAUCUGGAUGGAUUGCUAAAUGAAUGUGGAUACAUUAAAUAAGCUGAUUUAAGAGUGCUUAACAAGGAAUAAUGACGGUUAAAAAGGGCAAACCUGAAUCUGUUUUAGCCAUGGUUUUGUCUCGUCUUCUUUUCUUGAUUUGAGAUUUGCAUUUGCACCUGUCCAGCGGCCGUCGGUGCGGAUCUUGGUGGUAAUAGCAAAUAUUCAAAUGAGAACUUUGAAGGCCAAAGAGGGGAAAGGUUCCAUGUGAACGGCACUUGCACGGUUAGUCGAUCCUAAGUCUAUGCUAUCUCUUCGACUUUUAUAAGUUUUGUAUUUGAAGAAUGGUUUCUAGGUUUACAAAAGUAAUGUGUUUGGUUUUGGUUCGCCGUGGGGUGGUAGGGCACAAUCACAUGUAUAAAAUGAGGUUUGAACCGGGAACCAAGGUGCUGUUAGGCCAAGGCUCACUGAGUAGCAUUGCUUAUUGAAACUCUUCGUUGUAGAUUACAAUAGAUAAUCAAAGUGGAUAUUUAGAUGGUGUCGGAUAGAGUAAGGAGUAUAUGCCGAACAAGGAAGCAUGAGACAUGAUUGAAGAUGUUAUGUAUUUAGGUUUUUCGGCAAAGCAUAGCUUACUGAAUAAUAUGUCAAGUUUGGUAUGCAUCUUGGCGAGGCAAUCCAGGCUGAAUUGCGAUCCUCACAAUGGCUCCUCCCCUUUAUUUGUUACCAGAUCUAAUAUACAAGCCUGUAACCUCAUGUUAUGCUGGCUUUUCUAGUUUUAUAAAGCUUUUGAUGUUGCAAUGUAAGAAAUUUCCUCUUGGAUGUAAUGAAGCAUGUUUGAGCAAAUGGUUUGGUCAAACAUCAAUCUUUGUGUCUUUGUGAUUUCCUUUAGAAGGCAACAACCCGUGAGCUUUCCAAAAACAAUGCAUCUGAGUGAUGCUAAGGUUAUCCAUAUCUUGGCAAGGCAAUAUAUGGAUUUUCGCUGAUUGUGUAGUGAAAAUAGAGGUGAAUCAUCUCUCUCACAGUGCAGGUUUUAUCUCCUCCUGUCAAUUGUUUACUAGUAAUAUCAAAGGUAAGGGCUUUUCAUAAAUGUUUAAAAAAAGACCCUCCAACUCUGGUCGAGAAAAGAAGCUUAAACUAGAUGAAUCUCGUUUGUUCGAUAUGGGUGUUUUCUGGAUUGCUUAUUAUGGGUUAUCAAGAACAAUAUCCAAUCUCAUACAUAUGCGGGAUAGAGAGUUUUAAGGAUGCUGGGGUUGUACCUGAUAGACUACUAUCACAUGCUUAAGGACUCCUGGCACAUCACACAAUUAAAAAAGCGAGAAAGAGGAGAUGAAGUUAGUGCUAUGUGUUUAAGUUUUCUAAGUAAAGCAUAAAUUACCCAAUAAUGGGUGAAAGUAGCUAGGCCCAUAUCAUGGCAAGGCCACCCCAAUCUUGCAGUGUUGGAGGCUUGGAGCUAUGGUGAUGUUUGAUACCUUUUCUUUUUUCUCUCUGAUUCAGGGUCGCUCAUCCACGAUUAACUUGUGCUGUCAUGAAAUGAUAUAAAGUUUUAGAUUUUCGAUGUAAACAUUUUCCAGUAAUAUCAUUGAUUUUCGACUUUUGUUACCA